GACGAACGCUGGCGGCGUGCUUAACACAUGCAAGUCGAACGGAAAGGCCCUGCUUUUGUGGGGUGCUCGAGUGGCGAACGGGUGAGUAACACGUGAGUAACCUGCCCUUGACUUUGGGAUAACUUCAGGAAACUGGGGCUAAUACCGGAUAGGAGCUCCUGCUGCAUGGUGGGGGUUGGAAAGUUUCGGCGGUUGGGGAUGGACUCGCGGCUUAUCAGCUUGUUGGUGGGGUAGUGGCUUACCAAGGCUUUGACGGGUAGCCGGCCUGAGAGGGUGACCGGCCACAUUGGGUCUGAGAUACGGCCCAGACUCCUACGGGAGGCAGCAGUGGGGAAUAUUGCACAAUGGGCGGGAGCCUGAUGCAGCAACGCCGCGUGCGGGAUGACGGCCUUCGGGGUGUACCGCUUUCGCCUGUGACGAAGCGUGAGUGACGGUAAUGGGUAAAGAAGCACCGGCUAACUACGUG
rnacentral:rRNA from 1 species